AUGGUUAAGGUUUUGAAUAGGACUAAAACAUUACGUUUAGACACUCAUUCUGAAUGGUUAUGGUUUUGAAUAGGACUAAAACAUUACGUUUAGACACUCAUUCUGAAUGGUUAAGGUUUUGAAUAGGACUAAAACAUUACGUUUAGACACUCAUUCUGAAUGGUUAUGGUUUUGAAUAGGACUAAAACAUUACGUUUAGACACUCAUUCUGAAUGGUUAUGGUUUUGAAUAGGACUAAAACAUUACGUUUAGACACUCAUUCUGAAUGGUUAUGGUUUUGAAUAUAGUUAAAACAUUAAGUUUAGAAACUCAUUCUGGAUGGUUAAGGUUUUGGAUAUAGUUAAAACAGUUCUCUGCUGCCCAUGACUGGAACGAACUGCAAAAAUUACUGAAGCUGGAGACUCAUAUCUCCCUCACUAGCUUUAAGCACCAGCUGUCAGAGCAGCUCACAGAUUACUGCACCUGUACAUAGCCUAUCUGUAAAUAGCCCAUCCAACUACCUCAUCCC
ensembl:lncRNA